GCGUUGAUAGUCUAAGGGUAAGAUACGACAUUCCCAAUGUCGUGACCCGGGUUCGAGUCCCGGUCGACGCA